CGACAACAAUAUCGGGUCUUUGGCCGACCUUUAUAGUUCCUGGUUCAAUAGUGCGUUGGACUUGGACCAGUGAACUAAGAAAUUUUCGCACGAUGCCGAAUUUGUGCGAGUAUUAACGAAGACUUAAAAACCUCGUUGCAAUCGCGCGCGUUGCAAUGAUAUAAUCGAGUGUUAGUAUCGCUAAAAUAAAAAUAUCGCGAAGUAGAAGCAGUGUUUGUUCGUUCGCGUUUCGCGAUUUAAACCAUAAGUGUUUUUGCAUAGACUGCGUGCAAUGCAGUCGUCAGAGUCAGUGUUUGUUCGCGUAGCUUUUUGAUUUUUUAACAGUCGCACUGACUGUACUUAUAAAAGAUAGUAGAGUUUCGCGAAAUAAAUUCAGUGUCCGUUCGUUAAUAAAUAACUACCGCGAAUUAGAGUCAGUGCAUCACUGAAGUGGAUCUCGACCUACUUCGAUGUCGACCUACCUCAUUUUCAACCAACUACAAAUCAUCCACCCUCAAUUUCGACCUAAAUCGCGGUCCAGUGUUUUGGAGCCACCGCAGAACUUCUAAAGCAGCAAGUCAAUUUUUAAAUCCCUCCGAUCACUCAUCAUGUCGAGGACGAAAGGUCCGAAUCGGCACGAGUGAUUGGUUGUAAUUAAUUAGUAGAAGAGCAAUGAGUGACCACGAGUAAAUUUCUUCGGAGAUUUCCUCGUGAAUGGUUCGUAUUUUUUGACUUAUUU